GCGCGAACAGGAGACCACUGACCUGAAGAGAAACAUUGACAGACUCUAUGAGCAGAACACUGAUCUGAAGAACAGGAUUAAACAUCCAGGAGCUUACCGUUAGACUGGCUGGAUUGGGCUGCGAAGGUCCACUAGAAGUCUGUGGGUAACCGGAGAAAAGCAACGGCGACUGGAGGUCACUCGAACAGCACCGACCUCUAUAUCGCUCUGAACUUCGCUCUAACGGGGAAUCUAGGCAGUUCCCGAGCCCGUGUGCUUGCCUUUUAGUACGGGCAUCCUCCCUGCUUUUAUCGCUUCAUUAUAAUUUGUUACUGCAGUUCCAUUCGAUGUAACGU